CAGAAUAUAGUUUAUUAAGAACCUCCACUUUGGGGGUGGAAAGAUAUAUUUCUGA
rnacentral:tRNA from 1 species